rnacentral:rRNA from 1 species
AACGAACGCUGGCGGCAGGCUUAACACAUGCAAGUCGAGCGCCCCGCAAGGGGAGCGGCAGACGGGUGAGUAACACGUGGGGAUCUGCCCAAUGGUACGGAAUAGCUCCGGGAAACUGGAAUUAAUACCGUAUGAGCCCGCAAGGGGAAAGAUUUAUCGCCAUUGGAUGAACCCGCGUCGGAUUAGCUAGUUGGUGUGGUAAAGGCGCACCAAGGCGACGAUCCGUAGCUGGUCUGAGAGGAUGAUCAGCCACACUGGGACUGAGACACGGCCCAGACUCCUACGGGAGGCAGCAGUGGGGAAUAUUGGACAAUGGGCGCAACCCUGAUCCAGCCAUGCCGCGUGAGUGAUGAAGGCCUUAGGGUUGUAAAGCUCUUUCAGCUGGGAAGAUAAUGACGGUACCAGCAGAAGAAGCCCCGGCUAACUCCGUGCCAGCCGCCGCAGUAAUAC